AAAGCAUGAUGAAAGCUUUCCCUAAGCUUCUUCUUAAUCUUUCCCACGAUUCAUAGAUAGAUUCACCUUUUUACUGGGUAAAUGAUGUGAUCUCAUUUCUAAGUUU